rnacentral:lncRNA from 1 species
UUUCAUUCUGAAUUCAUUUUUCUUUUGUUUCAUACCAUUUAGCUAGCAUGCCGUUUAGUCUCAAUAAAUCAACGUUGCCAAUCAAAGCGUUAUUCAAUUAUUUCGUUUGAUUACAUGUCAGCACAUGUCAUUGAGUCAUUGUCUGUGCAGGUCUGUGUGUGAAGCCUGUUUAAAGUAGGCUAUAACAACUUUCAAACCAUCAGCCAUUCAGAUUUUCUUCAAUGGAAGACAGUAUAGAACAAAUUUUAAAGAGGAUCAAAGAAAAAGAGGAAAUUUUACGAAAGCAGAAAAUGGUCAAAUUGCACAGAGCAAAGCACAAUACCACUGAACUUGAAAACUUGAUUAAAGAAUGGCUGGGAGUGUGCCAACAAACUCUUCAAGAUCUGGAACAGAAAUUGAAAGAUCAGUCGUCUGAUUCUGCAGAUUUCGGCAUUGCAAAAAUUCUUGCACAUUUGAACAUAGAGCCUGAGCUGGUUGGUUACAGUAUUGAAGACGAAAUGUUUACCAACUGAAGAUGUAUUCACUGUGUAUAUCCGUUUCAAGAGUUGUGUUCUGAUGACAUCUUCAAAAUGCACUUGCUUCACAAUAGAUAGUACUACGUAAAAAAUGUGUACCGCCAAAGGAACAAACGACACGUGCAAAGUACAUCCUUGCGACUAGAUGUUCAUGUUUUCGAGUCUUGAAAGGACAGAGAUAAAUGUUCAUCCGAAUAUCUCUCCAAGCAGAACCUGCAGUCUAGCACGUAACGGGAUUAGUCUCAACAUUGAUCCCCCUGCACCCUGUCACAAGUGAAUCCGAAAAACGUCCACUGCCGAAACAACACACACAAUUAGAGAGAAAAACAGCAGUUGCCGGCUACUUGUUGUACGGUCGCAAAGUGGAGCUGAAAGCCGCGCAGGAAAAAAGAAAGAAAGAACCUUAUGAUAUUACAUAUCUCUUUCACGAGCUUUUGACAGCACAGCUCUCGCUCCACACUAUUGAAAACAACAGCAAAAAUCGCUCCUGUAUUUAUGUUGCUUUUCUCCGACGACAUUUCCCCCGUUGGAAGGUUCAAAAAAUGGAAGGAAAAAAUAUUUUGAUUGUUUUUAUUAUUAUUUUCAUUUGCUCGCGCGGCAAUUUAUUGGCAUGGUGGUUGGAACGUCUUCUGGCUGGCUGAGAACGUGCCUUGCGUCGUGUCGGCCCGAGUUUAAAAAUAUCGCUCGUGUUUGACGGGUCAAAGAAAAAGAGAGGAAAUGGAAGGCAACAGCUGCCGAGCUGCGCGACAAGUUGCCGACGAAGUGAAGGGAUCCUCGGCGGGACCCGAAACUCGCGAGGAUUAGACACGAAAAAAACCUAUUUCCAGCUCUAUGUAGGCAACCGUAUAUAAUGUCCGUUGGGGCUUUCCAACUUGAUCCACUUGGACAAGUGGAAUGUCUUAAGUAAUAGUCGUUUCGUUAUAGCGUAAGCCAGCGGGGGCUGCCUACUUCUUCUUUUUUUAAUUUUACUGGUCCUGUGUAUGCGCAACGGAAAAGAAAAACAGGAAAAAAAACGGGGGAUUUUUUGUUGUUGAGCGUGACAAAUUUGUGUAUUGAUAACAACAUAGCAUAGUUCACCGAAAUCAUGGAGAAAAAAGUUCUAUUGUUUUAAGUAGGAUAAAUAUGUACAACAGUUUGAGGGGGUUAGUAAACAACUCGUGCGUUUCGAUCUAGAGAAUGAGUUUCAUUUUCAAAAUAUUUUCCAAUUGAUAAAAAAAUUUUCUUUUUCUUAGGAGAGAGAGAGAAUAUACUAUAUUUCAAUCAUCAGACUGUGCCGGUGUUGGUUGGAGCUGUGGUCGUGGUGCAAGUCGUGGCCAAACUCUCGACGAUGAAGCUGAGCCGGUCGAGACUGGACGAUCCCGGAGCGGAUCCUUGCCCUCCACCAGAUCCUUCAUUACCUGUUGGUGAUGCCAAAGAAAGAAAUUAGUUUGAUCAAUUUUUGUUUUGAAAAUUUUUUAAAAUUGGUGCUUGAAAUUGAAUAAACAUGAAUCAGAUUAUCCGACAAUGCCGCUUUUAAUAUCGACUGCUAUAAUUUUCGUUCGAAAAAUGUCCUCGUGAUAUGUGAAAUUUAAAGUUUAAAAAAUGUAUCUAGGCAAAGCUAAAACCCUAUUUUAAAAUAAUAAUAAUAAUAGUUUGGAUUGCUUGUAUAAUUUGACGUUAUUCUUUCCCUACGAUGUUCAUUUCUACCACCACGAGUUAAGAAGGUGAUCCAGAUUCAUAGGCGAAAAGGAAGAGCUGGUGGUGAGCAAUCGAUACCCUCUCGUGGUGGUAGUAAAAAAGGAAAAAAGGGAAGAAGAAUGACAUUUUUAAGACAAAUUAGUUGAGACGUGGGAGCGCACAUUGGAGAUGGGAAGGCUCUUGGAGUGAUUCCUCCUCCCUUGGUGGGAGGGAUCAUAAACGACUUCAUUAGCCCUCACUGGAACCAGCGAAGCAAUCGAAACGGACUGUCUUAAUAUAAUGGACGUGAGGAGAGACGUGAAGAAGCGCCGUGUUUUGGCUGGGCAACUGCUGACGGCGGCGACGACGGACAAGCGCGAGAGAGGUGCUCCCCGAUAUUGGAAAACGUAGGAGGACAUUUUCUCUCGAUACUCGUCAACACGGCAGUCAAUCUGUUGUCUGCCCAACGUCCAAAUGGCCGCCGCGUCGACAAGUUGGUCAGACAUUCGCUGAACUGAUGAAGUCGAGUCUGGUAGUAGGCCACAACGUUCGUCAUCUGCGCCAAUAGAAUAAAGAAGA